rnacentral:misc_RNA from 1 species
AAAGUCGUAACAAGGUUUCCGUAGGUGAACCUGCGGAAGGAUCAUUACAAAUAAAGCUGGUAGGAAGUGGGGCCUUGAUCUGUAAGUGGUAGAGCGAACAGUCCGGCUGCCUCCCGAAAUGUCUUACAUGUCCCCCACAGCCUGAAGGCCGAAUUACAACCCUUGAUUUAUCCUACACUUUGGUUUGGCUUUUGGGGGCUGCUCAAGCUGCCCCCAGGAGGACCCAACUCUCUUGCAUUUUAGUGACGUCUGAGUACUAUAUAAUAUUUUAAAAUCU